GCAUCGGUGGUUCAGUGGUAGAAUUCCUCGCCUGCCACGCGGGAGGCCCGGGUUCAAUUCCCGGCCGAUGCA